rnacentral:rRNA from 1 species
GAUGAACGCUGGCGGCGUGCCUAAUGCAUGCAAGUCGAGCGAACGGACGAGAAGCUUGCUUCUCUGAUGUUAGCGGCGGACGGGUGAGUAACACGUGGAUAACCUACCUAUAAGACUGGGAUAACUUCGGGAAACCGGAGCUAAUACCGGAUAAUAUUUUGAACCGCAUGGUUCAAAAGUGAAAGACGGUCUUGCUGUCACUUAUAGAUGGAUCCGCGCUGCAUUAGCUAGUUGGUAAGGUAACGGCUUACCAAGGCAACGAUGCAUAGCCGACCUGAGAGGGUGAUCGGCCACACUGGAACUGAGACACGGUCCAGACUCCUACGGGAGGCAGCAGUAGGGAAUCUUCCGCAAUGGGCGAAAGCCUGACGGAGCAACGCCGCGUGAGUGAUGAAGGUCUUCGGAUCGUAAAACUCUGUUAUUAGGGAAGAACAUAUGUGUAAGUAACUGUGCACAUCUUGACGGUACCUGAUCAGAAAGCCACGGCUAACUACGUG